UUUUUUUUUUAUAUGGACUAAAGUAAAACAUUGGAAAUACUAUUCUAAGAGUGUUAGAAUAGGAGCAUACGAAUUAGGGUAGAAAGCACAAACCAAACCGCUGAAGAUAGUAAUUCCGCCUAAACAAGAAUUUAGGGUAAAAUUCGAUUUGAACAGCAACUAAAUAAUGUAUUCGACUCUAAUAGGUAUCCCAAAUGGAAAGAUCAUGAAAAAUUGAAGAAAAGACACAAAGGAUAGUUAAGAAAUUAUUACUGAGUCUAGCUCUGAUACCAAUUGAUGCGGAACCCCAGCCUAUUAGAGACUGAAACGACACAUACCCUAGUAAAAAGAACUUAGUUCAGAAAAUAAUUACCCAAUCUAAAGCACCCUUAAUUACCAUGCAAUUAAGAACAUUUAUAACUGAUUGAUUUUAAGAGCAGCAAGAAUAAGAAACAUACAAGUUAGUAUCAAACCUUAUUCGUGAUGCAAUGUCAAGAACCAAGAUCUCUCUUAAGCGCUCAAAGAAGAAUCGCAUAAAGCAAUUGUAUUGAAUAAUUGAUAAUCUGUAUAUAGUAUGGAAAAAGAUAUGUUUUAUAUAACCUAAAUAAAUACCCAUGAUUUUUGCCACUUCCCACUACUAUGUAUGGACCCAUGAUCUAUGCCACUAUCCACUACUCUGCAUGGAUCUAUGAUCUAUGCCACUAUUCACUACUGGAUAACUAUCCACUACUGGUUAACUAUCCACUACUGGAUAACUAUCCACUACUGGUUAACUACCUACUAUUGGUUAACUACCAACUGCUAAAUAACUACCCACUAUAAAUACAAAAUUUGAAUUGUCAAUAGGGACACAUUCGGCCUAAUUGACUUGGAAUGGCCAGAUUGUUCUUCAACUUCAAAAUGAACUUGCAAAGCUUCAACAUAUUCUUUCAUGAAUCCUUGAAGUGCUUCCUUCAACCUCUUGGAUCUCAACCUUGUAAUUGGUCCUUGAGGCAAUGUUAGCUCAUCAUUUUUUGUGUUGUUGGUUGUGCUUACAUCAGAAGGGAAGCCAUGUUUGGCAAUAUUUGCUGUGGAUAAGUUUGCUUCCUUCUGAAAAUCCUACUAAAGAUGGAAAUGAAAUAGGAGUUGAGAAAUGUGAAAUUACAUUGUUGGCUUGAGAGAAAGAAUGGGGCGGUAAAAUUUGCUGCAAAGGAAGUUUGAUGUUUGUGAAGAUUUUUCAGUAGCGAGGAAAACACAUCUUUAAGAAAAUUCAAUUUCAGCAGCAUUUGAUAAUGAAUUUGUGGAAGAUACGUGCAGUGAAAAUAUAUUUCUUAUUUCCUUGGAUAAUAAACUAACUUAUUAUCUGUUGUGCAUUUAUCUGAUUUGCUUGAUAAUGGUGGGAGCAAUUCCUAUUAUUGACAGAAGAAGACUUGUUCUGAGGAAAACAAUGCAAAUUCAGAAAGAAAGAACCACAAAGAGUUAAAAAAUAAGGGGAAAAAACCUGUAGAGUAGCGAAUGGGAAGAGAGCAAGCAGAGAAAUGCAAUGAGAGAAUUUUUCAGUUGGCAACUAAAAAAGAAGUAGGAAGUAGGAAUAAGAAAAACAGAAUCAAACAGAAAGUGCAAACAUUGAAAGGGGAAAGGACAGAUGAGGCCAGUAUAAAAAACAGAAGAAACUUUCCAUGGAACACCAAGUAACUGCCAGUUUCAGAGUCAAAAGUGUGUGUUGCGUUUCUUACAUGUGGUAAAGAGAAAAUUAGCAAAAGCAGAUGUGAAGGCAACUAGCAGCCCCUCUCUUCAGUUUAUUGAGCAUUAAUUAUAUGAAACUAUUAAAACAAAAAUAUUAUGUCAGAUACUAUUUUGAUAUUUAUUUUCUUGUUUUGGAGGGAUUGGAACUGAUUAUCAUCAAGGACGUGCUCUUGUAGAUAUCUCCAAGUUAGAUUUUGAUAUUCAGAAUUCAGUUCCCUUUCUUCUGAUGUGUCUGUUCAAGGAAACAUCUUCGUUGGUUCUUUAAUAGUCAAAGUAUUGUGCCGAUGAUUGAAUAGUGUAUUUGAGACGUAUUGAAUAAAAAGCAUGAGUCACAGACAGACAUGCACACUGUCUUGAGCUAUUCUGCAGCAAAAUCUAAUUAGAAUUACGGAUAUACAAGCAAUACCUAUAUCUGUAUAGAGUUCUUCAGGCCUUAGGGAAGAAUCAAGUGCAAAAAUAUAGAGAUAAUUCAUGAGCUUCACAGUGUAUAGAAAUGAAUGGUCAUUCAUGGUGGAACAUAAAAAAGAAUUUACAUAGCACUAGACUGUGAGGAAUAUAUAAGUGCUAAGAGAAUGGAGUUUCAGAAAUGUAUGGUCAUCAAUGAUCAUGUAACCAUAUUGUAUGAUCUGAGGUCGCUGGAUUCUUGUGCAUGUGUAUAUGUGUCUGCAUUCAUUUAUGUCUAUGUGUAUGCAUAUCUUUCUCUGUGCAAAAGUAUCAGGAUACCUCUGAUAAUAUUACUGGUAUUUAAUUUUGAUUUAUGCUUUCUUUUCCAUGCUUGUGGAAGCCUCCACUGAUGGAAUUUUCAUCCUUGUUAAUGUGUAUGGUUUCAGGGAUACAGCUGGACAAGAGAGAUUUAGAAGUCUCAUACCUAGCUACAUUAGGGAUUCCUCAGUUGCUGUCAUUGUGUAUGACGUUGCAAGUACGCAAUUUUAUGCUAAUAUAUGGUCAUCAUUCUCAUUUAAGCAGCUUAACAAACUUGCAUGUCAACAAAUAUCAAGUCAAGCCACUUUAUCAAACUUUCCAGUUCCCUAAUUUGUUAUUGGUUUAUUUAAGGCUGUAAACUUGCUUCAUUGUUUUACUGCAUUUUGGAACUGAUUGGUGCCUAUGGUCUUCUUUACCUCUCUCCUUUCUUAUUGUUUGUCAAUCUUGUUCUCACACUUUGUGGAUGUUUUCAACUUGAUAUUGUGUACUUUAGGUCGUCAAACUUUUGUGAACACAUCAAAAUGGAUUGAAGAGGUUCGCACUGAAAGGGGCAGCGAUGUGAUCAUUGUUCUUGUUGGGAACAAAACUGACCUUGCAGACAAAAGGUGAAUGCUCAAUUGCAAAAAUGUAGUCGUUGUUGAAUAUUGUGCCCUUUCUAAGGUGCAGACACACAUUGAGCAUAAUAUUGUUCCUUACAUCAGAGCUACGUAGUCUUUUUUUUUUUUUUUUUAAUAAAAAAAGACAUUCUUGGGCAGCCAUUUAGGCCAGAAGUUUUCUUUAUAUAUUUAUAUAGCUUUCAAGGGUUUGAGGUAUUUGAUUCUUCCUUUUUUUUCCUGUCAUCAAGCUUGACCAUUGAAUUGUACUACCUUGAAUGUAUUAACUUUCUCUUAUGGGUAUUAUUCAACAGGCAAGUCUCUAUAGAAGAAGGAGAAGCUAAAGCUCGUGAUCUUAAUGUCAUGUUUAUAGAAACUAGUGCGAAAGCUGGUUUUAAUAUUAAGGUGUGCUCUCUGUUUUUAUUUUUUAUUUUUUAUUUUUUAUUUUUUAUUUUUUAUUUUCUUCCUUUCUUUCUUUCUCUUUAAACACAUACAUGAUUCCAUAUCAUAAAUUGAAGAUUGAUACUUAGCCUGAUUCUUGGUGCCUGUGGAGUCAUGGCCAAAUAGUCUGUACACUGGUAAAAGAGAGAGAGAGAGAGAGAGAGAGAGAGAGAGAGAGAGAGAGAGAGAGAGAUGGAGCCGUGCUAGCUGAAUGAAUUGCUUGUUAAUGUAGCCAUGUUCCCAGUUACAGAUAAGAGAAGAAGUUAAGGAGAGAAUGGUGGGAGGGAAAGAAGAAAAGAGAGAAUCUGCAUUGUUCAUUAAUUCUGGAAUAUGCCCCAUAGUAGUUCACUCCUAUUUAUGUGAAUCCUACAUGUAACCGGAAUAACUGCGCUACCUAUCCCUGUCUAUUACAAUCAGCUCCUCCCAUCUCAGUCUACUCAUCCCAGCUCAUUUCCCUUAUUUAUAAUAUUCCCUGCCUCUUGAAACCAUUAUUGUCCUCAAGAAUGAAUAAAGGAACUACCAGUAAUUUUGCUUGCUGAAUCUGUAUUCAUCUGCAUCAUCUGUUGGAAAGGGAAAAAAAAAAGGGACAGAUGCAUUAUUUGUUAUAAUUUUUGGCGUUAGCACUACAUUUCAAUGCAGAAAUCCUCCAUUGCUAAAAUUCAAUUUUCUUUGUUUGCCUCAUUUGAAAUUCGUUCUCUAUAAGUUUAUGUGUCUUUGUUAUCCCAGCUCAAUUGUAUUAUCCCCAAAACUCCAAGGCUCUUUUCCACUUCUAUCUCCUUCAUAAACUGCCAUAUCUUCUCCUUCUGCAUCAUUUGCGUUCAUCGCAAAAAACUUAAAUCUCUUUCCUUUGGGAAGAAAAAAAAAACACUUUUUCACAUGAUUUUCUCUCGAGAUGAGUUGCCUGCAAAAUUUAUCUAUCAAACUGAAAUCACUUCCAACUAGAUGUUGUUUUAGUAAAAUAAUAGGUUCUUUUUCGUCAACCUUUUGAGCUCGUAAAAAUUGCAAUAUCAUCAGCAAUUGAAGUAGGUUGCUUGAAUUUACAUGACCAGCUUCUGAAAUGUGUACAAGCUAUGGCUUUAAAUAAAGGCCGUUACGUUACAUAACGGUCGUUAUUUACAAGUUUUUGAGCCUGCCGUGGCCAUUAAGGCCUGUAAAUAACGGAAAGAAAAUUUUGUUGCUGUAAUGGGCGUUAUGACUGUUACGCAAAGGUAAUGGCUAUUAUUGGCCGCGAUGUAAUGGCCAUAACGGCCGCUACUUUCCUUACCAGUAGUCCAGCCCAGCCUUUGUAUGCAUUAUUGAAGGGGAAAAAAAACUGAUUUCUCUACUUCUUCUCUUUAGUCUUUUGUUUUUUUUUUUUACUCUUUACUACUUUGUGUCUUCGCCACAACCAGCAAGCCAAGCAGUCCUCCAUCCAACACUCUCUCCACUUCUCUAGAGUCCAGACUCCAGCAUUCUUCCAUACUUAUUUCCAGCCUCCAUUUCAACUUUUCAAGCAAAAGCUGCUAUAUUUCUCUUAAAUGUUUUGAUAGCAGAUUAUAUACUUAAAUUUCUACUCAAAAACCUACCCUAAACAAUCAUUCUGGUAGCAUUAAUUGAGGUAAGUUACUACAUAUAAUAUUUAAAAUUUAUGUAUUUUAUGUUUAUUUAAUAUAUUUGCACUUACUAUUAAGUUACUUAAUUAUCAUUAUAUCUUUCAAUAUAUUUUAAUUUCAUAAACUUUACAAAUUUUUCCAAAAAAUUUGCGCCGCGACAGGCCGUCACCAUUAUGUUAUGACUGUUACAGGCUUGUUUCCGUUGCAUGCGGCUGCGACCAUGAUUUGAAACUAUGGUACAAGCUCCAAUUCUAGAGGCUUUUACAAGCUUCAGAAUUGUUAUCAUUCUUUAGACUGAUUAUUCUCAUCAUUUGAACUGUCAGCAUCAUUACCAAAGUUCUGCUGAAUCAAAUCUUCACUCCUAUGAAACUAAACAUGUCAUCAAGGGAAAGAAAAUCCCGCACCAUCUCAAAAGUUCCCUUGUCAUAAAGGCCUUUGAGAAGCCUCUGUAAGAUCUUUCAUUGUCAAUCUUGUAGUUCCACGGACUGAUUUAUUUUGUCUCCAAGAAAAAUUGAGGAAGAAACGAAAAACUUCGAGCUUGCAGAAAAAGAAUUACUCAGUUAAAAUCACCCUAGAUUGAAAUUUCAGGAAUUUCAAGAAACGGGUUUCUUGAAAUACUAGAAGUGAAGACUUGAAGAAGAAAACUAAUAGAAAUAACAGAAUCAACAAAGGAAGAAGGAAUUUGAUUCAAGAAUCCAAGAAAAGAAGAAGAAACAGGAUCUGCUGAGAAAAAGAGAAGGAAAGAAAUUUCAUUUCAAGGGAAGAAGAAAGAAGAAUAGGGGGAAGAUGAGGAAGAAAUUUCGGGGAAAGAAGGAUAGAGAAUUCUGGAAAGAAUGAAGAAGAAAAAGGAAAGGAGGAAGGAGAAAAAAUUUGGAAUUUGAGAACACUGACUUGAAUUCAAUCUAUGCCCUCUUGGGACCAGCUGUGAUCCUACUGUUGUAUAGACAUGUUCCCAAUUAUAUAUGUACGAGAAGUUGAGAAAAUAGGGUAGCUUUCCCAUCUGUUUUCGCCACUCUUUUGCAUGGCUGAGCCUAUUAAGGAACUGGGUAGCUAGUGGUUAGCUUUGUAAGCCAUUAGUCUACUGCGCAGCAAAAAACCAAACUGGUGAAGUCAAAACAGAAACAUAAGUUAUGGGAACUCAUUAAUUGACCUUAUGAGCUGGUGGAGAUCUCUUUAAACAUGAAGGCUAGGAUCAGUUACUGAAGGCCAUAGCACCGUAUUGCCCAUAUUUUGAUGCCGUUUUCAUUUUUAUUCAAUAAUUUGUCUUUAUUUGUUUUAAUUUUUAAUUCAUGUUUGAAUGUUGUGCAGCCAUUGUUCCGGAAAAUUGCUGCUGCCUUGCCAGGCAUGGAAACACUUUCUUCGACUAAGCAAGAAGACAUGGUUGAUGUGAAUCUGAAAUCCAGCAGUGGAGCCUCAUCACAAUCUCAGGCUGAGUCAGGUGGAUGUGCCUGUUGAUGCCCGGAAACUUCAGCACACCAAUUCUCUGAUUUUGUAGCUAUCAGAAUCAGACGGGAUAUGUAAAUGUUUAGUUUGGUUCCCUUUUUUCUUGCUUCUCUUUCUGUUUGCUUGAGAUUUUGGGUUAGAAAAUGGCUGAAGAACUAGGAGUAGAAAUUCAUUGUUGGUGUUUCAUAGGCUGGUGGAGACUCUGGAAUGUGCAGUUGAUCUCACCACCACUGACCUUGUUUUACUAUUAUAGAGUAAUAAUUGCUGGUUUAUAGGAUUUAUUUCAAAUAAAAUGAUUUAGUGGCUUAUGCCUCUUGCAUCUCUGUUUCAUAAUAUUUGCUGUUAGAGCUAUGAUGGAGAAAAACUAUUUUUUAACUAAAAAAUAUUAAAAAUUUAAAAAAUAAAUGUGACAAUAUAUACGUAUACAUAUGGUAAGAAAGCUUAUUCAAAACCUUUUUCUAAUAUAGAAUUCUGAUCUUCUUUAAAGGGUGCAUUUUGGCUUUUAAACCUCGAUGCUGCCCAAGCAUUAGGGUCUCAUUUUGAAGUUUAUUUUUAAAAAAAUUAAUUUCCUCAUAAGUAUGAUUUAGAUGUGUUUAUUGGUAAAUUAAAUUCUCAUAGAGUACAAAAUGAUCUAUUUCCAAAAAAGUUAAUUUCUUCAUAAGUAUGAUGUAGAUGUGUUUGAUUGGUAAGCUAAAUUCUGUAAAAAGUGUAUUAAUAGAAAGUAAUUAUAAAAAUGUCAUGAAUAAUAUAAUAUAUGUAAAAUAUUUAAAAUAUAAUAUUUAAUUUAAUAAAAGAAUUAAUUGUCAUAAAUAAUAUGUAAAUAUAUGUAAAAUAUUUAAUUUAAUAAAAAAAAUUCAUUGUUAAAUACUCAACUUUUGAGAAGUAAAUACACGAUUUAUAUGAUAACCAGUAUAUAAUUUUUUAUGAUGGUAAUAAUAAUUAAUAAUAACUUUUUGUUAAUUUAUUUCUAUAUUUAAAUGCAUAUAUAAUCUAUACAAAAUUAUAUUACAAAAUUUUUCUAUAUUUUAUCUACAGAGAAACAUGACCUUCAAUAUUUUAUUAAUCUUCAUCUAAAUACUUAACUAUGAAGAAAAAUAAAAAUAAUAAAAUAGAAAGCAGAGAAAAUAACUUGAAGUUACUUGGGUUGAGGAAAGGAAUUUACUUCCCUCUUAGACAAAAAGUAAAACACACCAACUUUUCGGGAAGUUGUACGCUCAUGACAACCAAACAAGAUCACAUUUUAUAUUUAUGGGAACUUUAACUUUCCUUACUAAAUUAUUCCAACCAAAUGAAUUUUGAUAAUUCAUACGAGUAUUUACUACACGAUUUUUCAACAAUAAAUUGUGGAUUGAAAUAUUCACACUCUUUAAAAAUUGAAUACGAGAAGUUUUAAAUCAUGACAAGUUAAAUUAUCAUCGUUUAAUUUAAAACUUAUGAGAUGAGAACUAUAUUUAGAAAACAUGAGACAAUAAGAAAAUAAGCAAUACACUUUUCAGCAUAUGUAGACGCGCAAUAUAAUUUCAGGUUGUGUAAUGCAUGUAUAGCCGAAUUGCACUUAAACCAAAUUUUGUUAUUUUGAUAUUUUAGUAUUUUAUAGAAUUUAUUUUAAAUUAAUUUGGUAUAAAUUAAAAGUUAAAUUCAUACAACUUAUUUAGGAAGGAGAUUUCUCCAAAACAAUUGAGGAAAAAAUUUUUAAUAUAUUCUAUAUUUAACUAGAUAAUCUUCCCUAUAUUAUAAUUAUAUCUUUCUAUAUUAAAAUUAAAGUUUGAAGAUUAUAUCUUUGUACAUUAAAAUUAGGGUUUGAAGGCUAUAAAUAGAGAUAAUGUUAUGAAUAAUAUUUUGGUUAUUCUCUAUUAUUUAGCAACUUAUCAAGGUUCAAUCUUGUGGUAUUCUAAUAUGUAUCUCCUUCAUAUUUAGUUAACUUAUCAAGAAUUUUUUGUGACGUUCUCAAGCUGGAAUCACUUGAUUAUCUUUAUUUCUAAUGUUAGUUAAGGGUGUAGUAGAACAACUUUUGUUUUAUAAUCUUUGUUUCUAAUUAUAUUGGUUGGUUAGGAGUGCAGUUGAGUAACCUUCUAAAAAAUAUUUUUACCUCAUUUUUUAUCAAGUGUGUGUUUGGAAUUCUUGAUAACAUGUUGAUCUGAGUUCCGCAUCAAAUUCUAUGUAUAUUUGGUGGAUCUAUAACUAACAAGGCUCAAAAUCAAAAGUUGAAUUUUAGAAAGACCAACUAACUCAAAAAGUCCAACAUUUGUAUGUAUUUAUAUUUUAAUCUAAAUCUUUUAAUUUUAAUUUAUUUGGUCCAGCCUUUGUAUUUUUAUUUUGGUGCAAUUUUAACUAAUAUGUAAAUUUUUAAAUUUGACAGUGUACAUGACAAUUUGAUAGUUUACUUUGUAUGCCAAGUGUAAUAAUAAUAAUAAUAAUAAUAAUAAUAAUAAUAAUAAUAAUAAUAAUAAUAAUAAUAAUAAUAAUUAUUAUUAUUAUUAUUAUUAUUAUUAUUAUUAUUAUUAUUAACCGAUGAUCAAAUGAUUGAAAAUGAUGAACGUUUAUUAUUAUUAUUAUUAUUAUUAUUAUUAUUAUUAUUAUUAUUAUUAUUAUUAUUAUUAUUAUUAUUAUUAACCAAUGAUCAAAUGAUUGAAAAUGGCGAACGUUUACAUUAUUCUAAUAUUAUUAUUAUUAUUAUUAUUAUUAUUAUUAUUAAACCGAUGAUCAAAUGAUUGAAAAUGGCGAACGUUUAGUUUAUAUAUAAAAAAUAAUAGUAAUAAUAUAUGUGACAUGUCAGCUAAACUAUUAAAUUGUCAUAUAAACUAUUAAAUUUAAAAAUUUAUAUAUUGAUUAAAAUUAUAUCAAAAUAUAAAGAUUGAGCUAAUUAAAUCAAAAUUAAAAAAAUUAAAUUAAAAUACAAAAUACGUGCCAACGUUAGACCUUUUUGAAUCAAUUCACUUUAUAUUUUCUCCUAUCUCAGCCUUCUUAUAUCUUUUUGAUAAAAAAAUUUUAUAAAAAUUUAAUUCAAUUGAUUUUUUUUAAUCAAUUCUCUUAUUCAAAAUAAAAAAAUAUAUUUUUUAAUUAAAUGAAAUAAAAUGAGUAAUUCUAAUGGAGUACUAAUGUUAAAAUAGGCCAACAUUUUUAAUUCAAACUUUUUAUUUUUGGUUUAAUUGACUCAACUUUUGCAUUUUAGUAUAAUUUUAGUCAAUUAAAUUUCUAAAUUUGAUAGUCUAUCUGACAAUUUGCUAUCUAACUAGUAUAUGAUACGGAUCCAAUAAGGCAAAUUUCUAACAAUGGUGUGGAACAAACUUAUAUCAUUCAAAUGAAUCUAAAAAGAGUUCAAAAUCAUAUUCAUAUGAUCCAUAUACAUUUGAGGCGUGCUUCAACUCAUAUGAGACAUAUUUGGUGCAACACUUCAAAUCAUAUACUUAGGGAGUCUAAUCAAACCUAUGGGCUAAAGUUACACAAAAGAAAGCUUAAGGUGAAGAUAAAAAAAUGGAUUUUGUGAAGAUUCAGUUUUGUUAUGAUGGGCUUGCUAUGUUUUAUUAUUUAAACACUUACUUUUAUUUUGAUUUUGUUUUGACUUGUAUUUUACCUAUAUUUUAUCUUUUAAGUUUUAGAGUGUUGGGUCAUGUCUUGGACUUAUGUUUUAAUACUUAUGAGUUUGAUGUGUUAUUUUAGUGUGUGAUUGAGUUUGGUUCGGCUAACCCUAAGAACAGUGUCUUAGGGUUUUAUUUGUUUUAUCCUUAUUAUAUAAGGAUAAGAAACACUUGUAAGAGGCAACUUUUGAAUCUAAAUUUUCAGAAUUCUUUUCAUGUCUUUGACAUGUAUUACUUUGAGUGAGAGUGAGGAUUUGCUUUUAUAAAUUGCACCAAGAAUAUUGGCUAACUUAUCAACUAAUCGCUAUGGCGUUUGUCAGAUUCUCAUCUACAUCCUUCGAUUAUUGAUAUUUCAACUUCUCUAAGUGUGGGGUGCCAUAGGAGGUGGGUUUAUCGAAUCUUUGGAUUCUAUAACUACUUGUGCGUGUGUAUUUGAGACUUGUGCCAUAGGAUUCCACGUCAGUUGGUAUCAGAGAACAGUGAUAGAUAAAUUCCUAUUUAUUUAUAUUUAUUUAUUUCGUAAGUUUUUUUUAUAUUUUUUUUACUCUAUCUUAUUAUUUUUUUAUUUUAAUUUAUCUUAUAGUUUCUUUCAAAAAAAAUAAGAAAAAAAAUAAAGAAAAAAAUUUUAGUUAUAUUUAUAUAAAAAAAAAAAUUCUUUUUUAUUUUAGUAGUGUGAGUUUUUUUUUUAAAUGAGAUAAAAAAAGAAUGAAAAAAAAAACUAUUUCAGUUGUUUGAUUUAAAUAAAAAAAGAAAAAAAAGAAGAGAGAUGCCAAAAUUUAGUGUUUUAUUUGCAAAAUGUCAAACUGAAUUCAAAGAGAAUCUCAUGUCUAUUGAUUCUUUUCUCGUCAUUAUGGUCGAAAAUUCAAGGAUGAAUCUUUUUGAAAAAGCAGAGAAUGAUACAAGCAAAAAAAUAAUACGAUGCUUCAAAAAUUUAAAAUGGGAAACUCUAAAUCAUGACAAAUCAAAUUACAAUCGCUUAAUUCAAGACUUACUAGAUAAGAACUAUAUUUGAGAAGCAUGGAAGAAUAAGGAAACAAGUCACACUCUCUUCAACACAUGUGGACGCACAAUACAAUUUUAGAUCGCGUAAUGCAUGUAUGGCCAAAUUGCAUAGGCCAAUUUCAUUAUUUUGGUAUUUUAGUAUUUUGUGAGAUUUGUUUUAAAUUAAUUUGGCCUAUAUUAGAAGGCAAAUUCAUGCAGUCCACUUAGAAAAGAGAUUUCUCCAAGAUAAUUUAGGAAAAUAAUCUUUAAUAUAAUCCAGAUUUGACUAUUUGACUACAUACCCUUCCUAAAUUAUAAUUACACAUUCCUAUAAUAGGAUUAGAGUUUUGAAGGCUAUAAAAACACACCUUAAGGUGACAGUUACAAUUAGCCAAUGAAUAAAAAUGAUGUUAUGAACAAUAUUUGGUUCUUCUCCAUUAUUUAACAACUUAUCAAGGUUUAAUCUUGUGGCUGAUGCGAAACCCCAGCCUUUUAGAGACUGAAACGAUACAUACCCUAGUAAAAAGAACUUAGUUCAGAAAAUAAUUUCCCAAUCUAAAACACCCUUAAUUAACAUGCAAUUAAGAACACUUAUAACUGAUUGAUUUUAAGAGUAGCAAGAAUAAGAAUCAUACAAGUUAGUGUUAAACCUUAUUCGUGAUGCAAUGUCAAGAACCAAGAUCUCUCUUAAACUCUCAAAGAAGGAUUGCAUAAAGCAAUUGUAUUGAAUAAUUGAUAAUCUGUCUAUAAUAUGGAAAAAGAGAUGCUUUAUAUAACCUAAAUAAAGACCCAUGAUCUUUGCCACUUCCCACUACUAUGCCGGGACCCAUUAUCUAUGCCACUACCCACUACUAUGCAUGGACUCAUGAUCUAUGCCACUAUCCAUUACUGGAUAACUACCCACUACUGGUUAACUAUCAACUGCUAAAUAACUACCCACUACUCAAUUAGUGAUGGGGAAUCUGUUAAUGCAAAUACAAAGUUUUGAAUAAUCAAUAGGGAUACAUUCGGCCUAAUUGACUUGGAAUGGCCAGAUUGUUCUUCAACUUCAAAAUGAACUUGCAAAGCUUCAACAUAUCCCUUCUUGAAUCCUUGAAGUGCUUCCUUCAAUCUCUUGGAUCUCAACCUUGUAAUUAGUCCUUAAGGCAAUACUAGCUCAUCAUUUUUUGUGUUGUUGGUUGUGCUUACAUCAUUCCCUCCCUCUUGAAAAGGAUUCAUCCUUAAAUCUACACCAAAAUCAAAAGGAGACAAAUAAGAAACAUUAAAGGUAGCCCUUACACCAAACUCACCUGGCAGAUCAGUUAUGUAUGCGUUGUCAUUGAUCCAUUUCAGUACUUGAUAUGGUCCAUCCCCUCGUGCAUCUAGUUUUGAUUACCUUUGAUUCGAAAAUCUCUCUUUUCGCUUAUGGAUUUAAACCCAGUCACCUGGUCUGAAUACAACUUUCUUGCGACCCUUAUUGGCCUGUUUCUCAUACAUCCUAUUACGCUUCUCAAUAUGCUCACGCGCUUUCAUGUGUAUUGAUUUAACCAUUUCAGCCUUCGCUUUUCCAUCUAAAUUAGAUAACUCAUUCAAAGGUAAAGGCAUUAAAUCUAAUACAGUUAAUGGAUUAAAACCAUACACAAUCUCAAAAGGUGAAUAACCAGUAGAAGAAUGGACAACGCGAUUAUAAGCAAAUUCAACAUAGGGCAAACAUUCUUCCCAAGUUUUCAAGUUCCUACCCAUAAUAGCACGAAGCAUAGUUCCUAAAACUCCUAUUAACAACUUCAGUUUAGCUAUCUGUUUGUGGAUGACAAGUAGUAGAAAAUAAAAUUUUAGUAUUCAAUUUGAUACGAACCAGCAAGUACAAUCACAUGAGAAUCAAGGAAGCAAGGAUCCAUUGGUGCUCCCUAGUGGACCAGUGACAAGGAGCAAAGCUAAGAAGUUUGAAGAAGCUAUGAACUUACACAUUCAAGAACAAGUAACACAAGAAUUGACUGAGCUUACCAUUGGCAAAUGUCUCGUGAAGCUUGAAGACACACCUAAGCUACUCAUCUUGCUUAAGGUGUGUAAUGGAGAUAGCGCUGUCUAAUUUAUUCGGCAUUGUUAUGAUGGACUUGCUAUAUUUUAUUAUUUAAACACUUGUUUUAUUUUAGCUUUGUUUGGGCUUGUAUUUUGGUCAUAUUUUAUCUUUUAAGUUUUAGAGUGUUAGGCCAUGUUUUGGACUUAUAUUUUAAUACUUAUGUAUUUGAUGUAUUAUUUUAGUGUGUGAUUGGGCUUGAGUCUUGUGUGUGGUUUGGCCAGCCUCAAAAAGAGUGUCUUAGGGUUUUAUUUUCUCUCCUUACUAUAUAAGGAUAAGAAACACUUGUAAAAGAUAGCUUUGAAUCUAAAUUUUCAGAAUUCUUUUCAUGCCUUUGGCGUGUAUUGCUUUGAGUGAGAGUGAGGAUUUGCUUUCAUCAAUUACACCAAGAAUCUUCACUAACUUAUCAACUAUUCAUUGUGGCGUUUGUCGGAUUUUUAUCUAAAUCCUUCGAUCAUUGGUGUUUCAGCUACUCUAAGUGUGGGGUGCUAUAGGAGGUGGGUUUAUCAAAUCUUUAGAUUCCAUAUCUACUUAUGCGUGUGGGUUUGAGGCUUGUGCCCUAGGGUUCCGCGUCAGUUGGUAUCAGAGCCAAAGUGAGGUAAAUUUUGAUUUAUCUUAGGAUCUAGGUUUUUUGAGUUUUCCUUUUCUUUGUUGUUAAAUUCCGUGAAAGUUUGAGUGUCCAUGGCUGCACCUUCUUAAUUAUUAAUCGUAAAAAAAAAUCGAAAUCCUUAAAAAAAAUCAAAAAUCAAAAAUCAAAAUCGCCUUUGCCUUAUUUAUCUUGAUCUGGCCGAAAUUGUGAUAUACUUCCUUUUUUUCGUCCAUAUUGCCUUACCUAUCUCAAUUGAUUGCUAUAAUUUAUGGGAAUCAAUUUUGAAUUUUGAAUUGGGUUGAAUCCAGAUUAGGAGACAAAAGAUAUUCUACCUAUUUCCUAAAGUGCACAUUUAAGGCAAUUUGCAUCUAAAUUGAUUUGAUGUCAAAUCCUUCUUUUAAUACCAGAAUUUUCGUCCAUGACGCUGAAUUGAGUGAAAUUUAAUUUUUUUUUUCUGAUUCUAUUUGUGGUGUUUUGAUACUUGCCUUUUUGAGUAGAUUUAAAUAGAUCCAUAUUUAAUUUGCAUUGAAGUGAAUUAAAUUUAAACUUUUGUCCAGGUUCGUUUUUAUUUGAAUUCUAUGUUUCCUUUUUGUUUUAAGCUUGCUUUUGCUUCCUUGACGUUGCAGGAGUAUUAUUUGCUUGUGUCUAUGCUCUAGGUGAUAUUUUCUAAGUAGCACAAACCCUAGUUCUUGUGUUACUUUCCAAAUUAUCAGUGUCUUCUUUAUAGUUUUUGCGCGCUUCCUUCUUUCUUUAGGUUUUCUUAUUUGUUUCUUUAAACGCACCUUAUGGUUGGUUGGUUGACCUUAGUUUCUAAUGUGCAAUUGAAGAAUCAACAAAAUAGUGGUAAGAGUGCAAACACUUGAGUGCUUUCUUUUCUAACACAAUAUUUGCUAGUUCUCUUUAUUCUUUGUUGAUUUAAGGGAGGAUGAGUAAAGACAAGAAUGUGGUGGAUAGUACUGAUGAGAGUGAAUCAGACAUGGGUAACGAUUAUAAGCUCUUUAAGAAGUCAGUCAGCAGUGAGUUACAAAGACUCAACAGGUCUCUUAAGAGGAUGACCGAAAGUAUGGAGAGAUUGAAAGUCUCAUGAGCUUCCACUUCUACAAGAAUGGCUCAUCGAAUUCUUAACCCCGAUAUACCACAAGUCCAAGAACCUCAAGUCCGAGGUGAAAUUGAUGAUAUAGAAGAUAAUGUCGGACAAGGAAGGGGGAGAGGAUAAGUUCAUGGAGGUAAUAGAACUGGCAUUGGGUUGAAUAGAGGUGGUGAUGCUAGACUUGGUAGAAAUGAUGAUGACACCGAGACAUACCAAACCAACACCAUUGAUGGUGAUUUGAGCUACAUAAAGAUGAAAGUUCCUGAAUUUAAAGGGAAUAACAAUGUUGAAGAAUACAUUGAAUGGGAGAGAAAAACUGAGCAGAUAUUUGAGUGUCAUAACUAUACUGAGGAGAAGAAGUCUUAUAUCGUUGCUGUUGAGUUCAGGGGUUAUGCCUCUUUCUGGUGGGAUCAAUUGAAAUCCAUAAGGAGGAAUAAGGGCUUAAGGGCAUUUUCACUAUGGGAAUACUUGAAAGUUGAUGCACCAAAGAUUUAUUCUUUCGCACUAUUAUAGGGAUUUGUACAACAGGUUGGCAAGACUGGUGCAAGGGGGAAAGAGUAUGGAAGAAUACCACAAGGAGAUGGAGAUGAUGAUGGCUCGGGCUCAUAUUGAGGAGGAUGAGCAAAUGAUGAUGUCCAAAUUUCUAGGUGGUCUUAACCACUGCAUUGCUGAAGAACUUGACAUGUACCAAUACAAUACCAUGGAGGAUAUGGUUGAUAAAGCAAUGAAAAUAUAAAGCAAUAAAAAUAGAAAGGGUACUAAACUUUUAUUAUUUUGGUAUUUUAGUAUUUUGUAGGAUUUAUUUUAAAUUAAUUUGGCCUAUAUUAGAAGCCAAAUUCAUGCAGCCCAUUUAGGAAGGAGAUUUCUCCUAGAUAAUUUAUGAAAAUGAUCUUUAAUGUAAUUUAUGUUUGACUAUUUGACUAGAUACCCUUCCUAUAUUGUAAUUACACCUUCUGGUUAAGGUUUUGAAGGCUAUAAAAAUACCAUUAAGGUGACAGCCACAAUUAGCCAAGGAAUAAAGAUGAUUUUAUGAACAAUAUUUAGUUCUCUAUUAUUUAGCAACUUAUUAAGGUUUAACCUUGUGGUGUUCUAAUAUGGAUCUCCUCCAUGCUUAGCUAACUUAUUAAGAAUUUCUUGUGGUGUUCUCGAAACUGGAAUCGCUUGAUUAUCUAUGUCUCUAAUCACAAUUAUUGGUUAGGGGUGUAGUAGAGCAACCUUCGCUUGAUUAUCUAUGUUUCUAAUCACAUUGGUUGGUUAGGGGGUGUGGUAGAGUAACUUUUACUCCAUUAUCUAUGUUUCUAAUCACAUUCGUUGAUUAGAGGUGUAGUAGAGCAAUCUUCUGGAAGAUAUCUUUGUCACGUUCUUUAUCAAGUCGUGUGCCGAGAUUUUUUAUCACAUGUUGGUCCUGGGUUCUGCAUCACUUACUAUACCUCUUAUUCAACUUGCCUUGUCCUUUCAAGUGUUUUAAGGACUUAUGAUCCAUAUGUAUCACAAACUCCUUGGGCAGGAGAUAGUGUUGCCACACAUCCAGUGCUCUCACCAAGGCAUACAGCUCCUUUUCAUAGUUUUAAUAAUUGAGAUGUGUUCCGUUCAACUUUUCACUGAAAUAGGCUAUUGGUUUCUUCUCUUGCAUCAACACAGCUCCAAUACCUACGUCAUAAGCAUCACACUCAAUUUCAAAAGUUUUAUCAAAGUGAGGUAAAGAUAAUAUAGGAGCGGAUGUUAACUUCCCUUUUAAGCAGUCAAAAGCUUUCUGUUGCUCCUCUCCCCACUUGAACCCAACUUCCUUCUUAAUAAUUCCUGUGAGUGGUGCUGCAAUCGUAGAGAAAUCGUGCACAAAUAUCCUGUAAAAGCUUGCAAGGCCAUGAAAGCUCCUCACAUCUGAAAUAGAUUUAGGAAUAGGCCACUCCUUUAUAGUUUUCACCUUCUCUUCAUCUACCUUAAUUCCCUAUGCACUCACAAUAAAACCAAGGAAAACAAGUCUAUCUAUACAAAAUGUGCACUUCUUAAGUCUAGCACACAAGCUUUCUUGCCUCAAAACCUGCAGGACCAACCUUGUUGGGAAAUCCCGAGAUUAUUGCAACCCAGUUGCGCAGUGGAAAAAUAAAAUCUCUGUUGAUUUCCUUUCCCAUAAUCCGAGUGCUUCGUUUAAUUAAUAAGAUGGAUAUGAGACUAACCUGUUAAUCUCGUCAAGAAGAAACAAUGCCGGACUGAUAGUGCUGCCUUUUCAAACGAACACCCUCAAUGGUAUCCACACGAACGUCUUCUAUCUUUCUAGAGUGCUAGCUCUCUCAAAGAUGGAUAGAUUAUGUGCUCCACAAUCUGCAAUCUUUUAGACUGAGUUUUCUCAAAAACACGUACCUUCCACAAUUCGUAGAAGGGGUAUUUAUAUGUUUCAAUCUUUUGUUUUCACACAAAUCCUUUUUCUAAAAGGAGUUGUAUUUUUCCCACAACUCCUUUUCCUAAAAGGAGUUGUAUUUAUCCCACAACUCCUUUUCCUAAAAGGAGUUGUGUUCAUAACCCACUAUCACAAUUUUGCAGAUACUCAAAUAUCUUAUGUGAUAGAAUUCUUUAUCUGUAACAGUUACAGAUAGACUGCAGAUCUUUUAAAUAUUAUUAUCUCAUAAUAAUAAAUGAUUAAUAAUAAUAACACUUUAUUAUUAUUAAUUAUAUUAAUAAUUAAUAUUAAUAAUAGUAACACUUAUUAUUAUUAAUUAUAUUAAUAAUUAAUAAUAAUAAUAAUAACACUUUAUUAUUAUUAAAUAUAUUAAUAAUAAUAACACUUUAUUAUUAUUAAAUAUAUUAAUGAUUAAUAAUAAUAACACUUAUUAUUAUUAAUUAUAUUAAUGGACUUUGGGCUUUUAGCCCAUUAAUAUGACAUAACACAUCAACAACGUUCUUUUGUGUGUGACCCAAUAGGCUCACAUUAAUUGGCAAUAGGCCCAGUCCCACAAGGCCCAUAAGUCAUAAGUGGCCUCUAGCAAGACAUUAUGACUACCCAACUAAUUAUGAGGAUCAAUAGUCCGAUAAAGCCUAAUAGAACAUGAAUUAAUCCCUUUGUCAUACGAUAUCUAGUUUGAACAUAAGUCAUGGUCAAUGUCAAACUUAUAAUGUUCAAAUUUAUGAUUUCUCGAUCUCUAAGUAGACUGAUAAAUUCGAAUGAUAUUGAUCACACUAUCAAUUCAUUUGAGCACGGCCAUGCAUUUCUCAGUCUCACUUAUUGAGGGGCCCAGAAGAUAUCUCUCUCAUAGAGAGGGACAAAUCCUAUCUUGAUUGUUCAUUAUCCUCUACAUAAUUUCUAUUAUGCUCAAUCAUAACCUUUAUGAUUGUCCGAUUAAAGACAACGUUUGGUUAUGUCAAAACAUAAUAGUCCUUAUGUUGGAAACUAUGACAAUCUCAAGUCAAAGGAUUAAGACAUAACUACUUUGAGAUUCACUUAUGACAAUAACCCAUAUAGUGAUCUCAAUGCGGGUCCAUCCAAUACUUUGUUCUCUAACAAGUAUUUAUGAUUAUUGAAUUAUAUCAACAUAUACAUAAUCAUCUCAUGAUUAUCAAUCAAUAAUCAUACUAGUUAUAUUUUAUUAUUAUCAACAUAAUAAUAAGUAACCAGGGAUGAUAAUCAUUAUUAUGUAACAUGCAAACAAAUAAUAAUGAUAAAAACCUCUUUUAUUAAUAACCAAAACGACAUACAAAAAGGCCCAAGAUAAUGGCCUAGGGCAUAUACACUAACAAUCUCCCACUUGCAUUAGGCCUAAUCAUACAAGUAUCUAAUACCCAUAGACUUAGUGUGCUGAUCAUGCUUGACCUGUGAAAGAGGCUUAGUCAGUGGAUCUGCAAUGUUGUCAUUUCUGUCUACUUUGCAUAUUUUGAUAUCUCCUCUAUCAAUGAUCUCUUGAAUAAGGUGAUAUCACCUGAGUAUAUGUUUAGAUCUCUGAUAAGAUCUGGGCUCCUUUGCCUGUGCUAUGGCACCGUUAUUAUCACAAUAAAGGUCCAUAGGUUUUGCAAUGCUGGGAACCAUUCCCAACUCUGAGAUGAAUUCCUUCAACCAGACUGCCCUUUUAGCUGCAUCUGAUGCUGCUAUAUACUCAGCUUCUAUUAUAGAAUCUGCUAUAGUACUCUGCUUGGAACUCUUCCAACUAACAACUCCACCAUUUAAAGUGAAUACGAAUCCUGACUGUGAUCUGAAGUCAUCUAUAUCGGUUUGGAAACUAGCAUCUGUGUAACCAUUUACAACUAGCUCGUCUUCCAAUCCUCCAUAAACUAGGAAUGUAUCCUUUGUCCUUCUAAGGUACUUUAGGAUAUUCUUAACAACUGUCCAGUGACUUUCACCGGGAUCUGCCUGAUAUCUGCUUGUUGUGCUCAAGGCAUAUGAGACGUCUGGUCUAGUACAUAACAUGGCAUACAUGAUAGAUCCAAUAGCAGAAGCAUAAGAGAUGUUAUUCAUCUGUUCUCGCUCAUCAGAUGUCAUAAGACAUUGAUUCUUGCUGAGAUGAAUACCAUGAGACAUGGGCAAGAAUCCUCUUUUGGAAUCUUGCAUGCUGAACCUUUUCAGCACCUUGUUAAUAUAAGUACUUUGACUCAGACCGAUUAUCCUCUUGGAUCUAUCCCUAUAGAUCUUAAUACCAAGGAUAUAUGCGGCCUCACCUAAGUCCUUCAUUGAAAAAGAAUUCCCUAACCAAGUCUUAACGUUUUGCAAGGUAGGGAUAUCAUUUCCAAUGAGUAAUAUGCCAUCCACAUAUAGGACUAGAAACACAACUGCACUCCCACUAACCAUCUUGUAAACACAACGUUCAUCUUCUUUUUUGAUGAAUCCAAAGUCACUGACUGUUUCAUCAAAACAAAGAUUCUAGCUCCGAGAAGCUUGCUUCAAUCCAUAAAUGGAUCUCUGAAACUUGCAAAUCUUUCUAGAAUUCUCAGGGAUUACAAAACCCUUAGGUUGUGUCAUGUACACAUCCUCGAGCAAAAGUUCACGACUGUCAGUCAUGAGAAAUCCAUAUCUCUCAGGCUGAUGACGUGUCCUAUCAGAUCUGCAUGGGACUUGUGUCACCCUUUCAGUUUCCACAACUGUUUGUGGUUCUGGAAGUGGUUCUACCAGCGGUUCAAUGCUCUCUUGUGGUUCUUGAGUUUCCUCAAAUCGCACUGUACUCCCACUGAAUCUCUGAGAGAUAAAUUCCUUUUCUAAAAAGGUACCAUUUCGAGCAACAAACACUUUGUUCUCUGAAGGAAUAUAGAAAUAGUAUCUUUUGGUUUCCUUAGGAUACCCCACAAAAUUGCACUUGAUAGAUUUUGGAGCUAGCUUAUCUGAAAUUGGGCGUUUCACAUAAGCCUCACAACCCCAAAUCUUAAGGAAAGACAAACUGGGCUUUUUCCCAGUCCAUAACUCAUAUGGUGUCUUUUCAACCGCUUUUGAUGGUACUCGGUUUAGAAUGAAUGCAGUUAUUUUCCAAGGCAUAACCCCAAAACGAUAAAGGGAGAUUUGUUUGAUUCAUCAUAGAUCGAACCAUAUCUAAUAAAGUUCUAUUUUUCCUUUCAGAAACACCAUUCCAUUGUGGAGUUCCUGGAGGAGUUAAUUGUGAAACAAUUCCAUAGUUUUAAAGAUGUUCAUCAAACUCUUGGCUCAAAUAUUCACCGCCUCGAUCAGAUCGAAGCAUUUUAAUAGUUCUACCAAGUUGAUUUUGUACUUCAUUUUGAAAAGUUCUAAACAUUUCAAAAGAUUCAUGCUUAUGUUUCAUUAGGUAGACAUAGAUAUACCUACUGAAAUCAUCAGUGAAUGUAAUGAAGUACUGAUAACCUCCCUUAGCACUAAUGCUUAGUGGGCCACAUACAUCUGUAUGUAUUAAGCCCAAUAAGUUUGAAGCCCUUUGACCUUGUCCAGUAAAAGGGUCCUUUGUCAUCUUACCAAGCAAACAAGAUUCACAAUUUUCAAAUGAUUCAAAAUCAAAUGAAUCUAAUAAACCAUCUUUAUGGAGCUUAAGUAUGCGAUUCUCAUUUAUAUGGCUAAGACGACAAUGCCAUAAAUAUGUUGGGUUCAACUCAUUUGACUUAGUUUUCUUAGCAGUUAUGUUAUAGAUAUUGUUGUCUCUAGAAUCAUCUAGAUCAAGGACUUAAAGGCCAUCAUAUGAAUUUGCAAUACAAUAAAGCAAAUCAUCUUUAUUAAUGGAGCAUUUCUUAUUCUUAAUAAGAAAAGAAAAACCUUUAUCGUCCAAAACAAAAACUGAAAUAAUAUUCCUACUCAAAGUAGGAACAUAAAAGCAAUUGUUCAGAACUAACAAAAGCCCAUUGGGCAACACUAGUUCAUAUGUCCCUACAGCUAUGGCAGUAACUCUUGCUCCAUUGCCUACACGUAGGUCCACAUCGCCCUUUUCAGUUUUCUACUCCUUUUGAAACCCUUCACAUUUGUACAAAUGUGAGAGCCACAUCCGAUAUCUAAUAUCCAUGAAGUAGAAAUAGAUAAAUUAAUAUCUAUAACAUAAAUACCUGAAGUCGUAGUCUCACUACUCUUCUUCUUCUUGCACUCAUCCAAAUAGAGUUUGCAAUUUCUCUUCCAAUGCUCUAGUUCCUUACAAUGGAAGCAAAUUCCUUCCUUAGGAACUAUUUCCUUAGGAACUUUUGGCUUGGAUUGCCAUUUAGGCUUGCCACGUCCCUUAGGCCCAUUACCACCUUUGGGCUUGGGCUUCCCCUUAUUUUUCAUGGGCUUACCCUUAUUAAUAUUCAAAAUUUGGGUAGGCCUUUUCUUGAUAUUUACCUCAGCUAUUUUUAGCAUCCCAUGCAGCUCAGGAAUAUAUUUUUCCAUGUUGUUCAUAUUAUAGUUCAUGACAAACUGAGAAAAACUGCCAAGUAAAGAAUGUAGGAUCAAAUCCGUGGAGAGUUCUAAACUCAGAGGAUAGCCAAGCCUAGCAAGGUGAUCAAUGUAGCCUUUCAUCUUUAAAACAUGAGCACUAACUGAAUCACCUUCAGCCCUUUUUCAAUCAUGCAAUGCGAUGGUGGUUUCAUACCUGUCCUGCCUAGCUUGUUGUUGGAAAGCCUGUUUGAGAUGGACACUCAUCUCAUAGGCCUCAAGGUGCUCCAGAUCCUUCUAAAGUUCUGGGCACAUAGUUGCCAACAUAAGACAUCCAAUGUCAUUAGAAUCAUCCAUAUGCUUUUUAUGCUUGUUCUUAACAGCAUUAGUAGCAUCAGCAGGAGGUGGUUCUGGGAUAGCUUCAUCAAGCACAUAGGACUUUUUCUCUUGCUUGAGAAUAAUUUUCAAGUUUCUAAACCAGUCAACAAAAUUAUUCCCAUUUUCUUUCAGUUUAUCCUUCUCAAGGAUAGAUCGCAGUGAUAAGGUGGAAUUGUUAUUAGCAGCCAUAAUUAUCUACAAAAUAUGCAAAGAUGAUUAAUUUAGUAAAUUAAUAUUAAGGUGGUAAUAAUCUCCCACUAAAAUAUAACCCUCAAAAUAAUAAUAUUUUAGCGGGCUAAGAUCCAUAUUUCACCUAAUUCUAAGUCAACUUUGGCAUGACGCUUAGAAUUAAGUUAUUUAGGUAGGUAACCCCUUACCAAUUACAUCUAAUGUAACUCUUAGAUUAUGAGGUAUUGACAUCAUAUGUCAAAUGCAUGUUAUACCCCAUCUAAUGCCUUAGGCCCAAAACCGUUUUGAUAGCCAAAUUAAGCUCAACCAAAAUUAAAUAAAUGAGUAACUAUUACUCAUCCUAUCUUACUAGGAUAACCUAAUGCACUUUGCUUUGGCAAAACUUGCAUUUUGGUGAUCUUAGUCUUGAUAAGUUUUUAAUAUAUGGGUGGCAUUAAAACUUAAAAUUUUAGAGUGAGGGUUCAACUUUUAAUUAUUUUAUCUUGCAUAUAUAUAUAUAUAUCAUAGUAUCCAAUGUGCAUAGAUAUAUAUAGACAAUGAUGCAUAGUAUCUCAUACUAACAUAUGACAAAAUAAUAAAAUAUAGUCAUUUAAAUCUGAUUUAAAUCUGAUUUAAAGACUAAAAGAAAAUAAUAAAAUAUAGUCAUUUAAAUCUGAUUUAAAGACUAAAAGAAAAUAAUUUAUUUUCUCAAAUUUAUUAUUAUUAUUUUUUUUGUUUCAGGGGCAGAAUAGUAAUUAGGGCAUCUUCUUCCUAAGGAGAAACCGUAGUUGCUGCCCGAGGAUCCAGCAACCUGCAUUAACGCGGUACCCUCUGCUCUAAGAAUCAGGAGAGCCAAGCCUUCGCUUGAGUCACCCAUGGUUCAACGCCUAGCUUGGAAUGGGCAAAGCCUGAAAUUAGCCUAGACCGAAUCCAACCUUCUUAGCUGGAACAACGUCCCAUCAUCUCAUAGCCCCCCACUUGGGUGACAAGCCCAUGCUACUAGGUUCGGUUGCCGCACGACAAUCAUAGCAGCCACAAUGCUGUAGUGAUGCCCAAUUUAUGGGUUCACGAUAUGAAUCCAGUUGCAGAUUCAAAUUCCUUUUUUUUUAAUUAAUUUAAUUUUUCUAACAAAAAUUAUCUAAAUGAUCUGAUCAUUUAUCCAUAAUUAUCAUGCCAUUCUAAUAACCAUAUAUCGCAUAUAUAAUAUCAAUCAUGGCAUAAUUAAUUUAAACGAAAAGCACAGGUAAGCUUUGAAACCACUGUUGGGAAAUUCCGAGAUUAUUGCAACCCAGUUACGCAGCGGAAAAAUAAAAUCUCUGGUUAUUUCCUUUCCCAUAAUCCAAGUGCUUCGUUUAAUUAAUAAGAUGGAUAUGAGACUAACCUAUUAAUCUCGUCAAGAAGAAACAAUGCCGGACUGAUGGUGCUGCCUUUUCAAACGAACACCCUCAAUGGUAUCCACACGAACAUCUUCUAUCCUUCUAGAGUGCUAGCUCUCUCAAAGAUGGAUAGAUUAUGUGCUCCACAAUCUGCAAUCUUUUAGACUGAGUUUUCUAAAAAACACAUACUUUCCAUAAUUCGUAAAAGGGGUAUUUAUAUAUUUCAGUCUUUUGUUUUCACACAAAUCCUUUUUCUAAAAGGAGUUGUAUUUUUCCCACAACUCCUUUUCCUAAAAGGAGUUGUGUUCAUAACCCACUGUAAUACCCGGCUCGUUCAGGCAUCAGAAUUCCUACCGUCCGAUGGAAUCUCGGAUGUCGGAUUCGUUUUGAGGGGUAUUGCAAGGGUCAACUGAAGUUUUCUACACGGUUUUCUAAAGGUUUUCUAACAUGGUUUUAAGUGUUUGACGAGAAAAGGUCAAUGAGGGAAAAACAGAGGUUCGGCCGCCGAAGGUAUGUUCGGCCGCCGAAGGUGGUAGAGUUUGUGCCUCCGAAAGCUAGGUUCGGCCGCCGAAGUUGGCUGAGUUGCGGGUGCAAGUUUGGCUGCCGAAGACGGUUGACCAAGCCACCUAUAAAAGCCCUUAGGUCGGUUCAAGAGGUAAGUUUUCUUCCUCUUCCCACCCAAGGUGAGCUCAUGUCCUCCUUGAGAUGAUUUCAUGGUUUUUGCAAGUUCUUGCAUGGUUUUUAAUGAGUUUUAUCCUUGGUUUAGAGAGUUGUGAGCUUUGAGCAAGGUUUUGGANNNNNNNNNNNNNNNNNNNNNNNNNNNNNNNNNNNNNNNNNNNNNNNNNNNNNNNNNNNNNNNNNNNNNNNNNNNNNNNNNNNNNNNNNNNNNNNNNNNNNNNNNNNNNNNNNNNNNNNNNNNNNNNNNNNNNNNNNNNNNNNNNNNNNNNNNNNNNNNNNNNNNNNNNNNNNNNNNNNNNNNNNNNNNNNNNNNNNNNNNNNNNNNNNNNNNNNNNNNNNNNNNNNNNNNNNNNNNNNNNNNNNNNNNNNNNNNNNNNNNNNNNNNNNNNNNNNNNNNNNNNNNNNNNNNNNNNNNNNNNNNNNNNNNNNNNNNNNNNNNNNNNNNNNNNNNNNNNNNNNNNNNNNNNNNNNNNNNNNNNNNNNNNNNNNNNNNNNNNNNNNNNNNNNNNNNNNNNNNNNNNNNNNNNNNNNNAGGUUUAGGGAGGCUUGUUGGUGCAUGGAUCUGGGUUCUGGAGGAACUCAGGUUCGGCCGCCGAAAGGAGUUUCGGCCGCCGAACCCUUGAGGAGGUGGGAUAGGCCGCCUAAACUCGCCCCCGAAGGUUUGGACUUUCGGCUCUGGAGUGGAGUUUCGGCCGCCGAACCUGCCGCCGAACAUGUCUGACUUUCGUCUCUGGAGAGGACUUUCGGCCGCCGAAAGUGCCGCCGAAGGUGCCCUGUUUUGCCUUCCUUUGCAUGUUUUUCCAUGCAUGUCUAUGGUGUUUUAGGGGGGUUUUUGGGGAGAUGUUUGAGAGUUAUGUUAGAGUUGUUUGGCACCUUAUGUGAGUCCACCUGUGUAGGAUCGGAUCUGAGGCGAGGUGUUUAGCUCCAGUGUGAGAGUUGGCCCAGAGUUAGCCACAGCUUGGCUUCAGGUGAGUAGAACUAACUAUGCAUGUUUUAAUGCUAAUGGUUAAGAUAGUGACAGUAUGAGCAUGAGACACGCAUCAUGGAUGCCAUAUGAUACUAGGUUGUACUGCAUUAGCGAUCACGAAUAUGCUGCAUUGCAUUAUUAUUGUUGAUGGGAUGGACCAAGGCGAUCUCAGUAGCCCGCAACCUGUUAUGUCUAGAUAAGACCUUUGGGAGCUCCGCAGUUAGGGGCAGGGCUCUAGUACAUGUAGUGACCUGGGAGUCCAUAGGGGCCGGGCACCGACAGAGGGAGUUCUGGGAUCAUGUCUAAUCCGAGAUGUGAGAUGUUUGUGUUAUGAGACAUUCCAUGAAAGCAUGUAAUGAAUGAACUGUUUUAUGGUUUCUACUCACUGGGCUCUUGUAGCUCACCCCAUUCCCUUAACCCCAGUUUUGCAGGGCCAGAGUUCAGCAGAGGUCAGCAGAGUGAGCUAUGGGAAAAGCAUAGUGUAAGCAGGGGUUGCAGUGGUUGGCUGUAAGAGCAUAGCUAGGUUUUGCUAGAGUGGCAUGUGGCAUGUAUAUGGAUGAAAGAAGCUUGAUGUAUAUGUGUUGAUGUUGUAAAGAGAAAGUGAUGUUAUGUUAUGUUAUGUUAUGUUAUGUAUGUGUGUAUAGUAUAGUCGUGGACAUGAUGUAUGGACAUGAUGUUUUAGCAUGAUGUAUAUACAGGUUAUGCAUGGAAAGAGCAGGUGGAAAAGAGAUAGAGUAUAUAAUGAGAUAAUGUCGAGAGUUGUGCUUUGCCCAGUGUAUGCUGAAUCCCUGGUGUAUGCAUGUGUCCUGUUUUACGUUUCUUGAUGAGAAAUGUGUCAAGCUAGGCUUAACAUAUGAUGUGUUUAUAAAACUCCAGUGAUCAGGAAAGAAAGGGUAUAAAACCCCUUGACCCAUCUGAGAGGGAAGAAAGGGUAUAAAACCCCUUGACCCAUAAUGGAAAGUAAGGCUAGCCUGUCUUAUGCUGACCCUAAGAGAGAGGGUUCUAUGUUUUCAGCUUAGUAGUAGAUCACUGGUGUAGGCCUUGACGGCUGUGGUUUUACGGUUAAGCUUGGUAGUGUUACAGAAAAUGGUUUAAAAGCUAGUGUUCGAGUUGGACCAUGUCUGGGAUUGAUCAGGUACACAGAGUGCAGUUUAGGCUUGCUACGGGUCCCGGCGGCCUUAAGCCGAUCUGGAUCCUAGCGCCGAGCAGUUUGGGCCGUUACAAAGGGGUAUCGAUUUUCGGGCUGUUACACCCACUAUUACAAUUUUGCAGAUACUCAAAUAUCUUAUGUGAUAGAAUCCUUUAUCUAUGAGAGUUACAGAUAGACUGCAGAUCUUUUAAAUAUUAUUAUCUCAUAAUAAUAAAUGAUUAAUAAUAAUAACACUUUAUUAUUAUUAAAUAUUAAUAAUAAUAACACUUUAUUAUUAUUAAAUAUUAAUAAUAAUAACACUUUAUUAUUAUUAAAUAUAUUAAUGAUUAAUAAUAAUAACACUUAUUAUUAUUAAUUAUAUUAAUGGACUUUGGACUUUUAGCCCAUUAAUAUGACAUAGCACAUCAACAACGUUCUUUUGUGUGUGACCCAAUAGGCUCACAUUAAUUGGCAAUAGGCCCAAUCCCACAAGGCCCAUAAGUCAUAAGUGGCCUCUAGCAAGACAUUAUGACUACCCAACUAAUUAUGAGGAUCAAUAGUCCGAUAAAGCCUAAUAGAACAUGAAUUAAUUCCUUUGUCACACGAUAUCUAGUUUGAACAUAAGUCAUGGUCAAUGUCAAACUUAUAAUGUUCAAACUUAUGAUUUCUCGAUCUCUAAGUAGACUGAUAAAUUCAAAUGAUAUUGAUCACACUAUCAAUUCAUUUGAGCACGGUCAUGCAUUUCUCAGUCUCACUUAUCGAGGGGCCCAAAAGAUAUCUCUCUCAUAGAGAGGGACAAAUCCUAUCUUGAUUGUUCAUUAUCCUCUACAUAAUUUCUAUUAUGCUCAAUCAUAACCUUUAUGAUUGUCCGAUUAAAGACAACGUUUGGUUAUGUCAAAACAUAAUAGUCCUUAUGUUGGAAACUAUGACAAUCUCAAGUCAAAGGAUUAAGACAUAACUACUUUGAGAUUCACUCAUGACAAUAACCCAUGUAGUGAUCUCAAUGCGGGUCCAUCCAAUACUUUGUUCUCUAACAAGUAUUUAUGAUUAUUGAAUUAUAUCAACAUAUACAUAAUCAUCUCAUGAUUAUCAAUCAAUAAUAAUACCAGUUAUAUUUUAUUAUUAUCAACAUAAUAAUAAGUAACCAGGGAUGAUAAUCAUUAUUAUAUAACAUGCAAACAAAUAAUAAUGAUAAAAACUUCUUUUAUUAAUAACCAAAACGACAUACAAAAAGGCCCAAGAUAAUGGCCUAGGGCAUAUACACUAACAAAUCUAACAUGCUCAAUAUGUUCGUCGAGGGACCUGCUAUAGAUCAAGAUAUCAUCAAAAUAAGCAACUACAAAUUUUCCCAAGUAUGCACGCAAUACAUGGUUCAUCAGCCUCAUAAACGUACUAGGUGCAUUUGACAAACCAAAAGGCAUAACUAACCAUUCAUACAAAACAUACUUUGUCUUAAAUGCAUCUUUCCAUUCAUCACCAGGUUUCAUCCUAAUAUGAUGAUAUCCACUGAGAAGAUCAAUUUUUGUAAAGUACCUGGCACCAUGAAGCUCAUCCAACAUAUCAUCUAGCCGAGGUAUAGGAUGCCUAUACUUCACUAUGAUCUUGUUAACUGCUCUACAAUCAACACACAUUCGCCAAGUGCCAUCCUUCUUUGGAACAAGCAGCACAGAAACAACACAUCAACUUAAACUCUCUCUCACCAAUCCCUUCUCCAUAAGCUCGUCAACUUGCCUUUGCAUUUCCUUUGUUUCUAUUGGAUUGCUUCGGUAAGCCGGUCUAAUUGGGAUGCUAGAACCAGGUAUGAAAUCUAUCUGAUGCUCAAUCCCUCUCAACGGUGGCAAUCCACUAGGUAGCUCAUCUGGAAAGACAUCAGUGAAUUCCUGCAUCAUAGACUUAAAACUAGAAGGCAAAGAAGAAAGGUUAAUAUCAGUGUCAGCAAAUAAAAUCUCCUUAUAUCUUAUAAGCAACAUGGGCUUCCCUAAAGAAAUAUCACUCUUAACCUCUCUCGCUCUCACAUAAAAUGUCUGUUUUUCCCUCCCCUCUUGCAUCUUUUCUCUCACCAAUGGGCCAUUUAUUGGUCUUGAUUCUUUUCCAGCAUCUUUACCUACAGACUCACUCUUUUUUCUGAUUUUUUCUGCAAAACUCAAGCUCUCACUCCCCUUAGUAGCUAAGGUCGAAGCCUCUCUCUCUCUCUCCAGCAUCUUUAUUUGAUCAGUAUAUACCUCUUGAGGUGAUAAAUGAGCGAGUAUAACCUUCUGUCCUUCAUGAGUGAAGGAGUACUUGUUAUUGAACCCAUCAUGUUGCACCUUUCUAUCAUAUUGCCACGACUUACCCAACAACAUAUGGCUUGCUUGCAUAGGUACCACAUCACACAAUGUAAUGACCCGAAAACCGGACCGCUAUCGGCGCUAGGAUUCAGAUCGACUUAAGGUCGCCGAAACUCGUAGCAAGCCUAACAUCCUGUACAUCUGAUAAAAUCCCAUACAUGAUCAUUCAUUUUCGUAAAAACUUUAAACUUUUCAUAUACCAAGCUUGACCUGUGCAUGCACCAUAACUCUAUACAUACAAAUCUCGUACUAGAGCCCUCAUCAAAUGCUCUAAUUGGGUCAACAUUACAUACAUCAAGCUUGGUUCAACAUAUAUCAUCAUUAAAUACAUUUCAUAAAGAUCAUAUACCAAAGGGAUUAACCAUACAUUAGGGCCAAGCACAAUACUAAUCCUCAUUACAUCACUGUACAAUACCUUACAUUACAUUACAUGUCAUUUCAUGUCCACUACUAAUCUAUUACAUAAAUGUAGCCAUUACCCUUGCUGACUUCCUGUGCUAUCUCUGACCCUGCAACUUGGGGGUUUAGAGGAAAGGGGUGAGCUAUAAGAGCCCAGUGAGCAGAAUAGUAAAAACAGUUCAUUAAACGUAUACUUUUAUGAAAUGCGUCACAUCACAAACAAUUCACAUCACGGAUGGACUGACCCAAAAAUCCCUCUACUCUGUGCCCGGCCCUCGGUGGAGCUCCUCAGGACUUCUAUUACAUAACAUAACAUCUAAAGGGCUAAUGGGUCGUCCUGUUGUCCAUCCACACCAACAAUAAAUAAUGCAAUGCGUCAUAUUCGUGAAUUCUAAUGCAAACAACCUAUUACAUAUCAUGAUGCAUGAACAUGCUUAAAACAUUUGUUUUCUCGAAAUAAAAGAUUAGUUUAGUUCUACUCACCUCUGGCUGACUCUGAACUAACUCUGGAGCAGCUAACUCACUGCUGAUCACCUCGGUUCCUCAGGUCCGAUCCUACUCAGGUGGACUCAAAUGAGAGACCAAACAUACUCUAUCAUGACUCUAAACAACUCCCCAAAAACCACCUAAAACAUCAUAAAACAUGCAUGGAAAACAAGCAAAGGAAGGUUGGGCAGGGGACUUUCGACUGCAGGUUCGGCGGCCGAAGGUCCCUACAGAUUCGAAAGUUAGGCACUUUCGGGGGCAAGGUUCGGCGGCCGAAAGUCCUCCACAGAUCCUAAAGUCAAGCACUUUCGGGGGUUUAGCGGCUGAAACUCCCCUCCAGAGCCAAAAGUCCAAACUUUCGGGGGCAAGUUUAGGCGGCCAAAGUUGCCUCCACAGGCAGGUUUGGCGGCCGAAACUGGCUUCGGCGGCCGAACCUGGGUCCUCCCGAAGGGCAGAACCCGAUUCCGCCUCACUCAUCCAGCCACCCAAAACUUCCCAACAUGCAUCCAACUAUUUUAAAACAUGCAUAAACACAUUUUCAAGCUCAUAGGGGCAUAAAACUAGCCUAAACCCCAACAAACAUCAACAUAGCAUCACAUUUAGCAUAAAACUAACAUAAACCCUAACAUUUAGAUCUACUCUCAAACAUGCAUCAAUACCCCUUAACCCCUCAUAAAACUUAAUUAAAACAUGAAAGAAGAGGAGGAUCUACACUUACCUCUUGAAGAUCGAGAGGAGAUGCGAUUCCAAACUUGGAGAUGUGGAGGAACGAGCUUCGGGAACUUGGAGAUGUGGAGGAACGAGCUUCGGGGGUCUCCAAGAUUGAAGACUUUGAUUUUGAGCUUAAAAACUUCAAAACAAGAUAAAAGCAUGUCAAAAACUUGAAUGAUUUGAAGGAAAACAUAAAAUCAACCAAAGGAGAGCGAAAUCUCACUUAUGCCCGAAAAUAGAGAGAGAAAACUCGCCCAUUUUCGGACAAGGGGCAUUUUAUAGGUGGCUGGCCAGACCACCUUCGGGGGCCAAAGGUGCUUCCGCAAACUCCCCAUGUUCGGCGGCCGAACUUGAGGUUCGACGGCCGAACCUGGGUUUUUCCUCCAUGGCUUUUUCUUUCAAAACUCAAUUUUCUUUCUUUGUUAAAACUUUAAAAACAUUAAAACAUUCUAUAAAAACCUUAUUUUACCCCUUCAAGAAGGCUCCGACAUCCGAGAAUUUCGGAUUCCAACGGAGAUUCCGCUGGAAGGUAGGAAUUCCAAUGCCGGGGUCUAGCUGGAUAUUACACACAAGAUCUCAUCCUUGUACCUACCAAUAGAAAAUAGUAUAACCACCUGGCGUGCAACCCUAACCUCACCACAAUCAUUCAACCAUUGCAAUCUGUAUGGCUUAGGGUGUCUAAUAGAAGCCACGCCCAAUUUCUCCAUCAUAUACACACUAGCCACAUUUGUGCAACUACCUCCAUCAAUAAUGAGAGUACACACUUUUCCAUUAACCAAACACCUAGUGUGAAAUAUGUUUUCCCGUUGUUCUAGGCUUUCUUUCUUAACCUGGAUAUUCAGAGCACGCCUAGCAACAAGCAUCUCACCAUGUUCAGCAAGCAACACAUUAUCAACAAACACAUCCGAAUCAUCACAGUCAAUCAAUUAAGUCAUAUUAGCAUAUAUCUCAUCAUCACUAUGAUCAGACUUAGACACUAGACCCCCAUCAGUAGUUGCUAUCAUAACUCUUUUAUUAGGACAUUGAGAUGCAAUAUGUCCCUUCCCUAAGAAUUUAAAACAUUUUAUAUCUCUACUAGGGUUAGAAAAGUUCGAAUUACCUGACAGUUGCUUGUCAUUCCCUUGAGAAGGUCCUUUAAUGGUGGAGACUGAAUCUUUGCCCCCUGGAUUGGGCUUUUGUAAUCUUUCUUUUCUCCACUUCUAUAGCCGGAAAUCCACCACCACUAUUUGAGGACUUGUAUGUGAUUUUAAGAUUAUUCCUGCCCUUGUGACGCCUUUCUAUUUUCAUUGCUUUGUCAACCAUAUCCUCCAUGGUAUUUUAUUGGUACAUGUUAAGUUCUUCAGCAAUGUAGUGGUUAAGACCACCUAAAAACCUGGACAUCAACAUUUGCUCAUCCUCCUUAAUAUGAGCCCGAGCCAUCAUCAUCUCCAUCUCCUUGUGGUAUUCUUCCACACUCUUUCCUCCUUGCACCAGUCUUGCCAACCUGUUGUACAAAUCCAUAUAAUAGUGCGAAGGAAUAAAUCUUUGGCGUUUCAACUCUUUCAAGUAUUCCCAUGGUGGAACUGCCCUUAAGCCCUUAUUCCUCCUAGUGGAUUUCAAUUGAUCCCACCAGAAAGAGGCAUAACCCGUCGAAUAAAUUAGACAACGCUAUCUCCAUUACACACCUUAAGCAAUGUGAGUAGCUUAGUUGUGUCUUCAAGCUUCGCGAGACAUUUGCCAAUGGCAAGCUCAGUCAAUUCUUGUGUUACUUGUUCUUGAAUGUGUAAGUUCAUAGCUGCUUCAAGCUUCUUAGCUUUGUUCCUUAUCACUGGUCCACUAGGGAGCACCAAUAGAUCCUUGCUUCCUUGAUUCUCAUGUGAUUGUGCUUGCUGGUUCGUAUCAUAAGUGGAAUAGUUCAAAUGUGCGCCACCUAACUUCUCAUUGAAAUAUGCUAUUGGUCGGCCUUCCUGCAUAAGAACAACACCAAUACCAAUCCCAGAAGUAUCACAUUUAAUUUCAAAGGUUUUAGAAAAAUCAAGUUCCCAUUCUUUACCCCAUUUAAACCCAAUAGCCUUUUUAAUGAUCUCAUUUAGAGGUGCAACAAUAGUGCUGAAAUCUCUAACAAACCUCCUAUAGAAGCUUGCUCAUUCAUGAAAGGAUCUCACCUCAUUAGCAUUCUUAGGUGUAAGUCAUUCUUGGAUAGCCUUAACAUUUUCAGUGUCUACCUCAACUCCACGUGAACUAACAACAAAUCCUAGGAAUAUGACAUUAUCAGUACAAAAUGUGCAUUUCUUAAGAUUAACAUACAAUUUGAUGCGGAACCCCAGCCUGAUGAUGUAAGCACAACCAACAGCACAAAAAAUGAUGAGCUAGCAUUGCCUCAAGGACCAAUUACAAGGUUGAGAUCCAAGAGGUUGAAGGAGGAACUUCAAGGAUUCAUGAAGAGAUAUGUUGAAGCUUUGCAAGUUCAUUUUGAAGUUGAAGAACAAUCUGGUCAUUCCAAGUCCAUUAGGCCGAAUGUGUCCUUAUUGAUGAUUCAAAUUUUAUACUUGCAUUAAUAGAUUCCCCAUCAUUAAUUCAGUAGUGGAUAGUUAUUUAGUAGUUGGUAGUUAACCAGUAGUGGAUAGUUAUCCAGAAGUGGAUAGUGGCAUAGAUCAUGGAUCCAUGCAUAGUAGUGGAUAGUGGCAUAGAUCAUGGGUCCAUGCAUAGUAGUAGAAAGUGGCAAAUUUUGACAAAUUGCACAUUGUUUAACAUCUAAUUACACUUAGUACAUGAAAUUUCACUUUUGUGAGCUAAAUCAAUCCGUUUGUUCAUUUUGGUCAGUUUGCAUCUAGUGUUGUUUCCUAUCUUUUCUUGUUAGGUCUUUCCUUGCUUUCCUUAUUAUUUGAAUCGUCCAACCUUGGCUUAUUGAGUCUUUAUUCUGAAGUGCACUUUUGACAUACAAAGUGAGUGCUUGAAAGUUAAACACGUGAGUUGAGAGAAUUGUGAAUUUUUCUAUAAUGUCUGGGAAUAAUACUGGUAAUACUUCUGACCCUAUGUUUGAUAUUAAAGAUAUGUAUAAAGCUUUCAUGGAUAGUUUUCAAAAGCUAAAUUUGAGAAUGGAUAACCUUGAGGACAACCUUAGAUCUUAAAAGAGCAACCAAUCAGGAGGAUGAUGAUACACACGAUCCAUCCUAUGAAGAGGAAAAUGUGGCACAAUGAUGUGAGCACAACCAACAACACUAAAAAUGAUGAGCUAGAAUUGCCUCAAAGACCAAUUACAAGGUUGAGAACCAAGAGGUUGAAGGAAGCACUUCAAGAAUUCAUGAAGGGAUAUGUUGAAACUUUACAAGUUCAUUUUGAAGUUCUAGAACAAUCUGGCCAUUCCAAGUCCAUUAGGCCGAAUGUGUCCUUAUUGACGAUUCAAAUUUUGUAUUUGUAUUAACAGAUUCCCCAUCACUAAUUCACUAGUGGGUAGUUAUUUAGCAGUUGGUAGUUAACCAAUAGUGGAUAGUUAUCCAAAAGUGGAUAGUGGCAUAGAUCAUGGGUCCAUGCAUAGUAGUGGGUUGUGGCUAGGGGUGAGCAUUCGGUCGGUUCGGUUCAAAACCGAACCGAACCGAAUAAAUCGAAAACCAAAAUUUUAGUGUUUAUGAAAACUGAACCGAACCGAUUUUGUUCAGAAACCGAAUCGAACUGAACCGGUCUGAUUCGAUUCGAUUCGGUUCAGUUUGAUCGGUUUCAAUUUUUAAUAAUUUUUUUUAUUUUUUACACUUUAUUUUUAAUAUUUUAAAAUUUAAUUAAAAUAUUUUAAUUUUAAUAUGAUUUAAUUUCUCUAUAUUAUUGAAAAAAUAUAUUAUUAUCACUAAUCGGUUUGGUUUGGUUUUUUCAGUUUUUUCUGAUCAAAACCGAACCGAACUGAAAUAACCAAAAUUUCUGAAAUUAAAAACCGAACCGAACCGAAAUGUAUAAAAAACAGAACCAAAUUUUCAAAUCGAUUCGGUUCGGUCGGUUUUUUCGGUUUGAACCGAAUACUGCUCAUCCCUAGUUGUGGCAUAGAUCAUGGGUCUAUGCAUAGUAGAGGGAAGUGGCAAAGACCAUGAUGCAGAACCCCAGCCUAUUAGAGACUGAAAUGAUACACACCCUAGUAAAAAGAACUUAGUUCAGAAAACAAUUCCCCAAUCUAAAGCACCCUUAAUUAACAUGCAAUUAAGAACACUUAUAAUUGAUUGAUUUUAAGAGCAGCAAGAAUAAGAAUCAUACAAGUUAGUAUCAAACCUUAUUCGUGAUGCAAUGUCAAGAACCAAGAUCUCUCUUAAGCUCUCAAAGAAGAAUCGUGUAAAGCAAUUGUAUUGAAUAAUUGAUAAUCUGUAUACAAUAUGGAAAAAGAGAUGUUUUAUAUAACCUAAAUAAAGACCCAUGAUCUUUGCCACUUCCCACUACUAUGCAUGGAC
rnacentral:lncRNA from 1 species